CGAAAAAGAGUACUUUAGCAUAUAACUCCGACUAGCUAAUAAAGAUGUCAGUCUAGCUAAGAAUCUACAUGAACCUAGUUUCAAUAUGUGCGUGUGUUAAAAAUUGUGUAGAAGUAUACUGGCUGUUUUUUAUUGCGGCUUAAAAUUGUUAGUAUAUACAGCGUGCCUCACGGUCAGCGUCUAUUAGAAUAUUCCGGGAAGUAAUGCGAUUUGAAACCCGCAAAUUUGGAAAAUGAGAUUUUUGGAGACACUCUUUUCAGAUGAAAUAACAGCGACAUUAUGCGACUUCUAAUAAAUAAGCUGAUUUCGAACAAAUUGAUGCGGAACAACUUUUCAAUUUUCCAGCAAUACCAGUCGAUUGAAUUGUUGCAUUUCCAGUACAAUUGCUGGUUCGCUGGGGAGUUGCAGGCGAAAGAGGUUCGACUGAGUCCUGCUGACUCCCAACAGAAUCUGAGUGAGUAAAUGAAGGACCUAAUAAAUACACACAUAAUAUUUAUAGUUUAGGCAAGAAAUUAUAGGGGCAACAUUCACAAUAAAUCCAUUGUGCUCACAUCAAACAGUGCUUGAGUGCUGAUCAAUUGCAGGAUAGAUUGAAAUGUUUUAGAUACCAAAGAACUCAUAUUUGUAACUGUCUAAAAUAUAGAUAAUUUGUAUUGGUAAUAAAUGUAUCUAAAAAU